AAAAAAAAAAAAAAAUCCGAAACCUCUAAACUUCAGGAACAUUUGACUUCAUCACAUACCAUACAGAGAUUCGUAACCCCGCAUCAAGCAAAACAUGUAAUUCCCGGCUGCUUUUACAAAAUUUUGCAGAAUUCCCAUGGAUCACUGACUGUCUCUAAAAAACAAAGAGAAAAAAGGAGCCCCCUAUAAGAGUACAAAAAUUACAUAUGCACACACUAGUAUUAUAACUUUCAAUAUCAGAAUCAGCCA
rnacentral:misc_RNA from 1 species